AGAGAUUUUUGUUUAAUCCUCAGAAAUUCCUGAUGAGAAGGAAGAGGCCACCUCUAACUCUCCCUCCAAGGAGAAUAAGAAGGAAUCAUCUCUGAAGAAGAGUCGAAUUCUCUUAGGGAAAACAGGAGUCAUCAAGGAGGAACCACAGCAGAACAUGUCUCAGCCAGAAGUGAAAGAUCCAUGGAAUCUCUCCAAUGAUGAGUAUUACUACCCCAAGCAACAGGGUCUUCGAGGUACCUUUGGAGGGAAUAUUAUCCAGCAUUCAAUUCCUGCUGUGGAAUUACGGCAGCCCUUCUUUCCUACCCAUAUGGGGCCCAUCAAACUCCGGCAGUUCCAUCGCCCACCUCUGAAAAAGUACUCGUUUGGGGCACUAUCUCAGCCAGGUCCCCACUCAGUCCAGCCUUUGCUAAAGCACA